UACGUAGGGGCGAGCGUUGUCCGGAAUUAUUGGGCGUAAAGCGCGCGCAGGCGGUCCUUUAAGUCUGAUGUGAAAGCCCACGGCUCAACCGUGGAGGGUCAUUGGAAACUGGGGGACUUGAGUGCAGGAGAGGAGAGCGGAACUCCACGUGUAGCGGUGAAAUGCGUAGAGAUGUGGAGGAACACCAGUGGCGAAGGCGGCUCUCUGGCCUGUAACUGACGCUGAGGCGCGAAAGCGUGGGGAGCAAACAGGAUUAGAUAUCCCGGUA
rnacentral:rRNA from 1 species